rnacentral:pre_miRNA from 1 species
CCUUGACGAGAAUCUGAUACGGUUCCAGUCAGACCAGAGGGUGAAAGACGCUAAUACAGCUUCGCAACC